rnacentral:rRNA from 1 species
CCUACGGGAGGCAGCAGUGAGGAAUAUUGGUCAAUGGGCGAGAGCCUGAACCAGCCAAGUAGCGUGAAGGAUGAAGGCUCUAUGGGUCGUAAACUUCUUUUAUAUGGGAAUAAAGUUUUCCACGUGUGGAAUUUUGUAUGUACCAUAUGAAUAAGGAUCGGCUAACUCCGUGCCAGCAGCCGCGGUAAUACGGAGGAUCCGAGCGUUAUCCGGAUUUAUUGGGUUUAAAGGGAGCGUAGAUGGAUGUUUAAGUCAGUUGUGAAAGUUUGCGGCUCAACCGUAAAAUUGCAGUUGAUACUGGAUAUCUUGAGUGCAGUUGAGGCAGGCGGAAUUCGUGGUGUAGCGGUGAAAUGCUUAGAUAUCACGAAGAACUCCGAUUGCGAAGGCAGCUUGCUGGACUGUAACUGACGCUGAUGCUCGAAAG